UGGAGCCUACACAUGCAGUCGACGGUAACAGGAAGCAGCUUGCUUCUUUGCUGACGAGUGGCGGAGGGUGAGUAAUGUCUGGGAAACUGCCUGAUGGAGGGGGAUAACUACUGGAAACGGUAGCUAAUACCGCAUAACGUCGCAAGACCAAAGAGGGGGACCUUCGGGCCUCUUGCCAUCGGAUGUGCCCAGAUGGGAUUAGCUAGUAGGUGGGGUAACGGCUCACCUAGGCGACGAUCCCUAGCUGGUCUGAGAGGAUGACCAGCCACACUGGAACUGAGACACGGUCCAGACUCCUACGGGAGGCAGCAGUGGGGAAUAUUGCACAAUGGGCGCAAGCCUGAUGCAGCCAUGCCGCGUGUAUGAAGAAGGCCUUCGGGUUGUAAAGUACUUUCAGCGGGGAGGAAGGAAAAAAAGUUCAACCUUUGCUCAUUUGUUUUUACUCCCAGAAGAAGCAUCGGCUUACUCCGUGC
rnacentral:rRNA from 1 species